rnacentral:rRNA from 1 species
GAGUUUGAUCGUGGCUCAGAUUGAACGCUGGCGGCAUGCCUUACACAUGCAAGUCGAACGGCAGCAUGAUCUAGCUUGCUAGAUUGAUGGCGAGUGGCGAACAGGUGAGUAAUACAUCGGAACGUGCCCUGUAGUGGGGGAUAACUAGUCGAAAGAUUAGCUAAUACCGCAUACGACCUGAGGGUGAAAGUGGGGGACCGCAAGGCCUCAUGCUAUAGGAGCGGCCGAUGUCUGAUUAGCUAGUUGGUGGGGUAAAGGCCCACCAAGGCGACGAUCAGUAGCUGGUCUGAGAGGACGAUCAGCCACACUGGGACUGAGACACGGCCCAGACUCCUACGGGAGGCAGCAGUGGGGAAUUUUGGACAAUGGGCGAAAGCCUGAUCCAGCAAUGCCGCGUGUGUG